GACGAACGCUGGCGGCGUGCUUAACACAUGCAAGUCGAACGGAAAGGCCCUGCGGUUGUGGGGUGCUCGAGUGGCGAACGGGUGAGUAUCAAGUGCGUAACCUCCCCUUGACUUUGGGAUAACUUCAGGAAACUGGGGCUAAUACCCGAUAGGAGCUCCCGCUGCAUGGCGGGGGAUGGAAAGUCUCGGCGGUUGGGGAUGGACGCGCGGCUUGUCAGCCUGUUGGUGGGGUAGCGGCUUACCAAGGCUUGGACGGGUGGCCGGCCUGAGAGGGUGACCGGCCACAUUGGGACUGAGAUACGGACCAGACUCCUACGGGAGGCAGCAGGGGGGAAUGUUGCACGAUGGGCGGAAGCCUGAUGCAGCAACGCCGGGUGCGGGAUGACGGCCUUCGGGUUGUAAACCGCUUUCGCCUGUGACGAAGCGGGAGUGACGGUAAUUGGUAAAGAAGCACCGGCUAACUACGUG
rnacentral:rRNA from 1 species